ensembl:snRNA RNU6-1038P RNA, U6 small nuclear 1038, pseudogene
GUGCUCGCUUCAGCAGCACAUACACUAAAAUUGGAAAGAUACAGAGAUUAGCAUGGCCCCUGCGCAAAGAUGACAUGCAAAUUUGUGAAGCGUUCCAUAUUGUU